UAAAAAUCGAUUAACAAUGAAAUCGUUCUAUCUGAAAAAUAUCGGAAGAUUGAAAUCGUAAAGUUUUGUUGAAUUCUGCGAAAGGCAAUGGGAUUACGGCAUUACAUUAUCGAAGAUGAAUGAAGGCAAUCAAAUUAAAAAGAUUCGGAUAGGUUGGAAGGAAAUAACGCUUUUGCUGUACCUUAACUCAUUGUCUACCAUUCGUCUCUAAGCCAUCCUCAGAGUUUUCUCCUCGUCGAUAAAGCGACACGUUCAUCAAAUUAUAUACAAGAAAACAAACAUAUGUAUUGAAUUGGAGCAGCAUUUCACGCCAAUCAUGCGAUGACUCUACUUUUUGGAUUCGCCACAAGAUUCAAUUUAAAAAUAGAACUUAAACUUCUGUGAUUUACACCAUUCACUCACUAAUUCUACUUUUCGAAUUUAUUACAGGAUCUCCCGUCUGAAAGUAGGGCAUAUUCUGCACAGUCGCUGAUAAAUUGUGUACCGGCUAUAGAUAACAAUUCGAUUGCAGCAUCAUUUUUUUCCUAUCUCAAAUAAUUUGGGUUGUCGUAAUGCGAAAAUUAUUUGAAAUAUCCAUGGAAAUACGAAAGCUGUACCAAAAGUAAAUAAUAGAUUCCGAACAGAAGCAACGUGCCGUCAUCCAGUUCUUGAAGGAAAGGUGCAGGCCGUCGGAUACCCACAGAGACUACAGAAUGUUUACCAAGUAAUAUAAAAGAUCGAUGAAAAAGUUUAACGAAGGACAAACCAACAUUGAAGACAAAUCACUCAGCAUGAAACCAUACAGUGGUCUCCCGCUUCGUGGUUUGCCUUCUCUGUUUGACAUUCUCACCUCAUUGCAGUUGUACGAUGUGGUGAGAAUGUCAAAGACUUAGAAUAUCGGACCACCGAUCAUCAAAGUUUCUUUUGAGUUUUUGGGUAACGAGUAUAUAUAACUACGUUUUGCAGCAUAAUUUUAUAAGAGUAGAUUAGUAGACUUUUAUAAAUGAAUAAGGUUGUGGAAAUGUUCGAUACUUUUGACUGUAAAUUAGAUCACGCCUCACUAUAAAUUGGCUGGACCUAUGGAUCAAAGUGAGAAGAUUGCAGUUUUUGACUGUUAGUUUUGUAUUAUAAGAGUAGGCCUAAUAAACAUUCCGAAUGUGUGGAUUAGGGUGGGUGAAACUCUAUACGUGAAGUUGACGUGCAGAGUUACACGCAUUCUAAUUCUAGGUGGAACUCUCACACGGCCACCUCCACGUGGUGAGUUCUGGGUUGUCAUUCGUCGAGAAAAGACGAAAGGCAAGCGAAGGGCCGUGUACAGUGAUAUUGUGUUCGUGUGUGUAUGUUGUGUGCGUGUGAUCCAAGUACAUCUUUCGGUGUGUCUAAAAACAGAAAAACAGUAAAUUACGAUACGAGAAUAAGACGUGUAGAGAAGAGUUCUUACCAUCGGAGACUUUGGGAAAUAUUAUAAAUGGCUACUUCGUCCUCUUCGUGGUAAAGUUAAGAAGGGAGAUUUUUCUCCGUUUCAAAUGUUCCUACAAAACACAAAGAGUGAGAAAGCGAAAAGUUCAUUUAUUAUCUAAGGUCAACAUUAUUUCCUUUAUCAGUCUUUCUUCCGAACAGUGUCACGAGAAGAGCGAAGGACCUGACCUAGCCUAAUCUAACCUAACCGGAAGCUCAAUCCUAAUAACAGCUGUUUGGGAAGAAAUGUCGGUCGCAUGUCGCGUCCAAUGAGUAAACGUGUCACGUCAGGGUGGUCACAAUCGGGAGUCAAAUCCGUUCUCGUCGACCGAGUGUCACAUUCGGGAGACAAGUCCGUGAUAAGAGACGGUCACGUCAGGGAAAAGGUGUCUAAUCCGGUAAGAAAGUCGCAUCCGGGUGAAGAAGGACGAAUUAGGAAAAAUCGAAGAGGAUCACCGUCUAGGCCAAGGGAACCGCAGCCGUCCGCAGCAACAAA
rnacentral:lncRNA from 1 species